ensembl:snRNA U5 U5 spliceosomal RNA
UUACUCUGGCUUCUCUUCAUCGUAUGAUUCUUUCGCCUUUUACUAAAGAAUUCCGUGGAGGGGAGCAUUUCAAUGAGUCUUAACCUAUUUUUCUUAACCUGAAUUGGGUCAGGUU